ensembl:lncRNA
CGGUCAGUGGGACAGAGUGGGAGAAAAGGCUCAGUUCAUUUGUCUUCACUGGGCCACUUGAGCAAAACACACGACGAAUGGGGAGGAACACACACACACACACACACACACACACACACACACACACGGACCUAUUACUGUUCUAGCUGCUGAAGUACUGCUCACAUUGGCAGAUGAUCUAUUGAAAUAACAGCCAUUUCAUUUUGACCUUGAUAAAGUCGCUUGAGUGAGACUCAUCAUGAUUUUAGUUGUUAGUGAGAGUGUGUGUGUGUGUGUGUGUGUGUGUGUGUGUGUGUGUGUUUCUUCGCUUAUCCUAGAAAGGACGCCGUUUUUGUGAAAGCAAGGACAUUUUGAGGACAUCUUGAAACACCUCCUUGCAGCACUGUUGCGUUGAGCUGUGUCGACUUGGCGUGCAGGAAAACAAAACGCUUCAGCUUGAUGUUGUAAAAUAUGUAACAUUUGUUUUGGCAUUUAUUCUGUGUACGUAUCAAAGUAGAGACAUCUAAUUGCUGGCUGUGACUCAGACUUCAGUGCCAGUAAAUCCAAACCUACGUGUUUCCAUCUCCUGCAUGAAACGCUCUCCUGUGGCCUCGGGAGCAUUUAUGUGAGUUUUGUGAGGAACAACGCUUCAAGUAAACCGAGGAGAAGUAGUUUCACUGUGUUUCAAAACCAAAGAACGAACAACUGUUUCUUGCGGGGACACACCCGACUCUCGCGCCGCAGCCGCCGCUUUUUGGAAGGCGCCUGCGGCCGAAUGAAGGACGAUUUCUCCAGCAGGAGCGGAAAGACGCGAGUGCGGCAGUGAGACGGGGGCGGAGGGGGAGUAACUCAUCCCAGUAAGGCGAAGCUUUAGAUCAUAGACUGUUAACCACAGUCCACUUCACGCCCUACUGCUCCCUCACACACUCACACUCCAGGUACUGCUGCCCCCUGAGUCCUUUCAACAGCAUCCCACCGCCUAUAAAAGACGGGGGAAAAUGACAGCUCCAAAGAGGGAUGCACUGCAGUUAAGCUGACAUGCUUUAAAGUUUUCAUUUCUUUCUUUUCAAAGUCUUUGGGAAGGACGAGUUAGUGAGGCUUCAUUCGUGUGCUCUUAUAAGAGGAUGAGUGUAGCCAGAAUAUACAAGGACCUCGUCUCAGAGCAGACAAACUACUGGAAGCUGAGGUACAUAAAUGACAAGAAGUAAGAAGUAAGAACAGGAGAAAUGAAGGAAAAGAGAGCGCUGACGUGUAGACCGAUGGUUCCACUAAGGAUGGUGUGGAAGGUGUCAAUCAAACCCUGGUGAGGACCAAACAACCGGACCACGGGGGUCUCUUCUACUUCCAAGCAGACUCGUAGGCAAAAACUAAUGUUUUUCUUUAUUUGGUCUCCCAGAGAAAAGCAACACACAUCUAAUUCAUUGCAGGGUUGUUUCAAUACUUAACUUAGUUUUUUAAAAGUCAUCCAGCGCCUGAAUCUUGAAGGGAUUUUGCGUUUUAUUGCCUUAUCAACGUGGAUGUUUGUCCCUUAAUGCAGACAGAGCUUCAACAAUUGUAUAUGCAUGAAACAGAUUGUAUCUUCGUUGAUGUCAAUACUCUAGUAGACUCUAAUUAUGUUAAUCGCCAACCUGUUUUGAAACCAAGUUGGGUUUUCAGCUAAUUUAACAGGACCACUUUAGUCCAUUAUUGAUCUCCAGCACGGUGUAAAAUGUGACAAUUACAAGCCGAUUAAAGCUGUUAAUUGAUUCAUCAAACAUGUGGUUAAUCACCUUUGUAACUGAAAUGAGCUCCCAAAUGUGUUAUGAUUGAUUAGCAAAUCAAAUGUCAAAAGUUUAACAAUUCAAAGAGCAACCUGAAAAAGAGAAAAGCAUUUGGGAUUAUUAAAGUCAGAGCAGAGCUGCUGUCAAGGUAAAAGGCUGGUCUGUUGGUAGGACGCAAAAUCGCAAAACAAAAUUGGAGAUCGGAGAUGGUCCUGACUCUAUCCCCCACAGCUCCACCAACCUGCCCCAGACCCCCACCGCUCACGCCUCUGUAUCACAUUCCCCUCCCCCACCAGCAACGACCCUGUCUAUUCUGGAGAGAGACGUUAACCGGCUCUUUAAAAACCCCAAAAGGCAGCCGGCCCGGACACCGUCUCCCCUCACUCCCUGAAGCAUUGUGCUGACCAGCUGUCUCCGGUGUUCACUGACAUCUUCAACACCUCCCUGGAGACAUGCCACGUACCAGCCUGCUUCAAGGCCUCCACCAUCAUCCCUGUCCCCAAGAAGCCCAGGAUCACAGGACUCAAUGACUACAGGCCCGUCGCCCUGACCUCUGUAGUCAUGAAGUCUUUUGAACGGCUAGUCCUGUCCCACCUGAAGUCCCUCACCGACCCCCUCCUGGACCCCCUGCAGUUCGCCUACAGAGCCAACAGGUCUGUGGACGACGCUGUCAACAUGGCCCUCCACUACAUCCUCCAGCAUCUGGACUCCCCAGGAACCUACGCCAGGAUCCUGUUUGUGGACUUCAGCUUUGCCUUCAACACCAUCAUCCCGUCUCCGGUGCAGGACAAACUCUCCCAGCUGCACCGCCCGACUCCACCUGCAAGUGGAUCACUGACCAUCUGUCUGACAGGAAGCAGCAUGUGAAGCUGGGGAAACAUGUCUCAGCCUCUCGGACCAUCAGCACCGGUUCCCCCCAAGGCUGCGUUCUUUCCCCUCUGCUCUUCUCCCUGUACACCAACAGCUGCACCUCCCUUCCAUUUGGCAGGAGGCUACUGUCUGAUUCUAUGCACCAACCGCCAAGUCAAAUUCCUUAUAUGUCUUACAUAUGUUGGUAAUAAAUGUUCCUGAUUUCUGAUUCCUGAAGAAGAUUCUGACACAGAGGCACCAAUGCAAAUAUCUGGAGAAAGCAACAAGUCUGGGAUUCACGAUUUGCUGAAGAACUUUUCAGUUCAGAUUUUAAAUUGGCUACGAGGUAGAGGUUCUGCCUCCUGAAGAGUCGCCCCUUGGUGGUCACUUGCGGUAAUGCAGCUUUAAGACACUUUAAGACACCACAGCGGCUUCACUCGGCCCAACUAAUGCCUACCGGUUGUCUCAUACAUAUACACACAUAUCUCACUUUGACCCUCAUCAUCUCCAAGAAGGUUGCUUUUGGGCCCUCGGGUUGAAAUGAAUGUGUUCAUUAGCACCUAGUUAUCCCACAAAAUCAGUCAUAUGUUUUUCUGAGACAUUUAUCAGGAAGUAUAAAACUACAAAAUAAAACACUACAAGGUGGAUGGGUUGAACAGGAAAAAAUCAGAUCAGUAUCUGACACCCAAAGACGGUUCUCAUGUAACGUAUCUGUAAGUAAGAGGAAUCAGGAAAACUUGAACCAUUGAAAAGCAGCAUGUGUGUAAGUGAAAAUUUUUCGCAAUGUAACCCUCAAAAAGCUUUCGAAAGCUUCAAAACACUCCUUCAGAGUUUGCCGAGCGUUUGAUAAAAGAAAGGCCGACUGACUUUGCCGUAAACAAGCGGGUUCUGGGACAGCUGGAAGCCCCCCCGCCGCGGCAAAACAUCACAUGGACACACCAAGAUGACUCCGACUGUGUCAAACUGAUAAACUCGCGAGCCCCCCACUGAGCUGUGGGUUUAUUUCAUCCUUCACUGAGCCAUCAACACACCCACAUAUGUGGGUCCCUUCACUUCCUCCAAUAUUCUUCUCCAAAAUCGCUAAUCCAAACUCGCUAACGUUAGCAGCACCACUAACGUUAGCAGCUCUCCUCACUCGGUUAGUUGUUCACAGUGUGAGAUUUCCGAGGAUUGGGGAAUAGAAACAAUGACUGCAUCGGUAAAUACCACGUUAAAGCGUGUAUGGGGGGGUUGUUACGUGUUCUGAGCAGGAGCUGGUAGCGGUAGCAUAGCAACAGCUGUGAGCACAACGGAGUUUCCAUGUGGACACACAGCUUCUUAAGCUCCCUUUCUAUCUGGGAGCCUCACAUCUUAUAGAAGUAGCUCACCAACAACUUGUCCGACCCCCCUCACCUCCUGCGGAGCGAGAGGAGUAGAGCUGAAGCAGGUAACAGAGUCGGCGAGUGUGUGAAGAAUGGAGGUAAUCACUGUAAUUCAACUUCAUUUAAGGGCAAAUGAGAAUCGAUGAGAGCAGGCUUCAAGGGAGGCCGCGGGAAAACAACCCAAUUCAUCACUGGGUCACUGGGCCACACAAAUGGAGGCAGAGGAGUGAUUCAGAGAGAGGCGACCACGACAAGCUUUGAGGUGGAAUGACAGGUUUGGUUUUUCAUUCUCAAGUAGCCACCUCACAUGUGAGUCACCAGCUGUCACGCCCCCAAUAGUAAGCACACACACACACACAUACACACACACACUAGCUCAUCCUCCACUGUGAGGACUGCAGUCACACACACACAUUAAUCACUGCCGCGGUCUGGAGGGGAAGCCAGUGGUGUAUUUCCCUCGGGGCAGCAGUUCUUCUGCUGCUUCAGCUCGCCACCUUCUCUGAGUAAAUGCAGCUCACAGGAAGUGCUGUGUUGGUUCUAUAGGUAUGUAGAAGUGAAACGUCACAAUGUAGUGAAAUGAGAUGAAAAAAACACUUAAGGCCAACUCGGUUUGGUUGUGAGGGAGAUUUAAAAACAAUCUUUACCUUCAACCUUACAUAUUUACUUUAUUUAAGGGAUUUGUGUCCUGUUCCAUAAUUUGGCCAACCAACCACAAGUAAGUAUUUUGGGUUGAAAUGGUGCAAACCCAUCUUGACUUUUUCCAACUAGUGAACAGGAAGUGAUCUCAUCCGGACUGAGGAGGAUGUAGAGACAUAAUUUACGUCUCUGGUAGAGAGCUGUCAAUCAUUGUGUAGCCCCGCCCUAAAGCACCCCCUUCUUUAUGCUCUGUUUGACUCUAAAUGAACAUCAUGAUCUAUUGAGGAAGACUUGAAAGUCUUUGAGACUGAGACCAUGAACUCAUGUUUACAAUGUUUACUUCUCACUACAGAGAAGUAGAGUCAUUUCCUCAUAGACGUCUAUGGGAGCAGAGGAGUCGCCCCCUGCUGGUCACUACAGAGAAGUAGAGUCAUUUCCUCAUAGACGUCUAUGGGAGCAGAGGAGUCGCCCCCUACUGGUCACUACAGAGAAGUAGAGUCAUUUCCUCAUAGACGUCUAUGGGAGCAGAGGAGUCGCCCCCUGCUGGUCACUACAGAGAAGUAGAGUCAUUUCCUCAUAGACGUCUAUGGGAGCAGAGGAGUCGCCCCCUGCUGGUCACUACAGAGAAGUAGAGUCAUUUCCUCAUAGACGUCUAUGGGAGCAGAGGAGUCGCCCCCUGCUGGUCACCACACAGAAUGCAGCUUUAACUCAAGAAGCAUUGGCUUCACUGAUGAAACAAUAUUUUUCCCUUCUUCCAGCAUUCAGAUCACAGAUCUACUCUAAAGCAAUGUUUAAAAGCUGUUUCUAAUUAAUUUUAUAAUACAUAAAAAUGUAUAUGAUAUAAUUUAUUUUUCUACCCUAAGAAUAAUUGACAACUGUGUGAACCGUCUCAUCUUUCGUUGUAAAUUUCAUUGUAUAACAACAAUGACAACAAAAAAGCAAAAAAGUCUUUUUUGUAUAUUACGCUCAGUAAUCCCGUUUGUUGGAAACAAAUCAUUGUAUUUUAAUGACGUAUGUGCUUAGAUAUCAAAGAAAAAAAUCUACUCGGAACUUGCAUUAGGACGUUAAAUAUGUCACAAUUCAUUCUCUGAUAUCUAUUUGAUUCGCUGUGAAAACAUCUACCUUAGACAUGUUGACACAUGAAGAUUUAAUGUCAUAAGUGACCCUUUCAGCGGCUCAGUGGCAUCACAGAGCGAGCGCAGCUCAAACAGAGCAGUAAACAGAUUACGCAUAAUGUACUGUCUUUUCUUUCAUUUUUUGACGAGCUGUCGUAUUUCCAAUCUUUGUCUCAGUCUCCCCUUCGGUGAGGAAGAGACUCCAUUAUUGCACCUUUUCAUCAGCUCUGACUCAUUGCUCUGCGCUCCCGUCCACACGCAAACAAACCUGCUGUUUGCUUCCCUGAAAUGUGCUUCGUCAUUUUACAGCAGGCCGCCUCCGGGCCAUAAAUCAUCUUGUGGCAGUCCAGAUGUGCGAUGCUGCCGCCCGGGUGUGUUUGUUGUUGCCCGGAGCCGGCCGCCUAAAGGUCGGGCCCGUCAAAGCGCUGCACGCUUAGUGACGCUGGACGGAAAUGAGGUGGCACUUUCCAUUAGAGCCACUGCAUUUCAUAAUUACACCCCAAUUAGAGAGGAAGAGGAUGGAGUCCUCAACAUCCAACGGGCCCUCUGCGGCGCUUCGGUUCCACGCGGACGGAAGAGGGUGAUGAAGGUGAAGAAGAUGAAAGAGAUGGAGGUGAAGAAGGAGAUGACAGUGAUGAAGGUGAUGAAUGACUUGAAAUGGACUUCAUUCAUUUAAUUUAAAUAAAUAUGAUUCCAUCUCUGCGAUGUUGAGUGAUCGUCACCCUCCAAUCACAGAGCGCCAGACGUUGCUUCUGCCCACGAACGGCUCAGAAAGCACCUCCAUCUUCCUCAGGAGGAGAAGUAGCUACGUCUUCAUCUCUUUCUCCCUCUGACUCUUCCUCUUGUCAUCCACCAGACAGGCCGAUAGAUGUCACCCAGCUGAUCCUCGGUCAGCACAACGGGCAGAAGCGCACACACACACACACACACACACACUCUACGCAGGUCCAGAUGUUUCACAGAGCGGGUGUGAAGAUGUGGUUGGAGGUGAAGGCGUAGUCCUGCUGGCCUCGGCAGACGGUGAGAGGUGAUCGUGGUCGUGACGUCCGGAGGCAGCAUGGCGAGCUUUGAUGUGCUUCUCCCGUAUCCACGGUGACCAGGGUUGAAUUCCACUGAUGCCCCCCGUGACUGGGAUGGGGAAGCUUCCGUGUGCGGGUCACAUUAGUUUCUGCAGCAGAGCGAUGAAGCGCUCCGAGCCGCAACAUUGCAGUAGAUUACGAGCGCGGCCGGUUGGGGUGAUUACGGAGCGUCUCAGGCACAUGGAGAGGUGCCAUCCGUCCAGCACCACGGCCAGCACCACCCAGUAGAUCAGAGGAAGGAGAGAAGAGACUUCUGCUCUAUCUUUAACAAGGAUAAUACGUAAUACGCUGGUUUACUGCAGUUCUCCUCCACCCUGACAACUCGGGGCUAAAAUCCUAAUUAAAGGCUAUCUGGCAAUGUGAGGCGUGUACACAUCUGAUCCUAAAGAAAGAAACCACAGUGAUGUAACGAGGCAGACGUGUGAUGAUCUUAAGACUUCAGUGAAGUGCUUCAGACAAACCCGGAUUCCUCCCAUGUGGAUGCUGCUGCACGUGAAACACAACAAGGACACAAACAGGGGUCUCCUGGGGGAAAGGCCCGAGUUCGUAUGACCCCCCCACUUGCUAUUCUAACAUCCACAACUGGAAUUGCCGUCCUGCGUUUGCAUCAUUUUUGACCCGAACAAAUCAGCUGAUGUUCAUUAUCGGGCCGCAGGACGUCUCCUUCGGGAGGACAACGUCAACCUCCAGCUGCCGUCACGUCUUCGCCACAAAGUCCCCGAGGGCCACGAGGACGCUUCACAUUGACGCUGGUGAUAUUCACUUCCACAUAAUUGGACCCUUUACGACGCCCGUAGCCACGGCCAUCUGCACACGCUUCCAACAUCCGUCACACUGCAACAUCCGCACGGAAUACGUUCAAAUGGUCAUUUGGGCUUCUUUCAUUUAAAUGCACGUUCUAAACAAGCUGUAUUACCUUGAACUCUUACUUUUAAUCGGAGCUUCUCACUAGAGGAUCACCUGACGGAACCAAAGCGACAAAGAAACAAGCUUUUAAACUGGAUUGGACUUAUUUCUUCACAUUUGUCAACUUAAUUCAAGUCUGAUUCAGCGUUUCCACAGUUUGUUC